UACGUAGGGGGCAAGCGUUUGUCCGGAUUUAUUGGGCGUAAAAGGCUUGUAGGUGGCCACGCCAAGUCGGAUGUGAAAUCUCCCGGCUCAACUGGGAGGGGUCAUUCGAUACUGGCGGGCUCGAGGCCGGUAGGGGGAAGUGGAAUUCCCGGUGUAGUGGUGGAAUGCGUAGAUAUCGGGAGGAACACCAGUGGCGAAGGCGGCUUCCUGGACCGGUUCUGACACUGAGGAGCGAAAGCGUGGGGAGCGAUCCGG
rnacentral:rRNA from 1 species